UCAUAAAUAAAUUUCUAAAAAUAAUGUUAGUUAAAAUACUUUUGCCAAACGAGAUUCGUGAAUCGCCGGCGUUGAAUUAAACAACCAUGGCGGCGACAUCUCAGGCUCAGUUCUCCUGCUUCUCCGCUGUUCAUCGCAGCUUACAAAUCAAGCAACGCCGCUCGCUUCCUCUCGCCACUCCAAGGUCCUCUUUUCACUCUUCGCUUCUCAAAAUUUUCUCUGUAUUUUCUCUGCUUUUUGUUCAAUGAAAUUCUCAUUGAUCACGGUUCAGUAAUUCAGUUCCUUUGUGACUUACUAGGGUUUUUGUUUAUAUCCAAUUAGAUUCAUCAACUACAUCAACGCUUUCAAUUAUCAUAGAUCUAUCUAUUACAAUGAUUCCUAGGUUAAAGAAACUUCCAAAUUGAAAAUCUGAAUUCUUGUCUAUUUUUUUCUGAAUGAGUAGCUGGUAUUAGAAUGAAAAUUUGUUAUCUCUUAGUAAGAUUAUUUUUUAAUUUGAGGUUCUGAAUUUGUUGUUUUUAGUUGAUGGAUUUGAAUCAUUAUUAGGUUUUCCUUUGAAAUCUUACAAGACUCAAGGUAUAGUUUUAGGAGGUCUUGCCACUCAAUUCUCCAACGCAAGACCAGGGCCGGCCCAAUACAUCUUGAGGCCUAAGGCGAAAAUUUAAGUUAAAUUUUUUUAAUAUAAUAAAAAUAUUUUUUUUAGAUUAAUAUAUUUUAGAUUUUAGAUUUUUUAGGAUGUAAAAUCAAUAAAUUAUAUUUUAUUUUCAAUUGAUAAUACAAUCAACACAUCUAAGCACACUUGUUCACAUUUAAAAAAAAUCUUAAUUGAAAAAGUAUUAGCAAAACUCUCUUAAAAAACUUAAAUUUCAAGUAUUCAUUUAUAUUAGAGAACUUAAAAGUGCAAGGCGGGCUACGGCAAAGGAUCCAAAAGUUUUCACGGGUAAAUUGUUGGCUAAAAAAGGCCUAAAAAUAUUAAUUAUAAUUAAAUAAUAAUAAAAUAUGGCCUAUAAAUUUUCUACAGUUAUACCAUCGUAAAUUUACAUAGGGUCUCGAGAAAUAUAAAACGACUUUAAUUUUUAAAUUAACCAAUUAUAAAAUACAUAUCCUAAAUAAUUGUUAAUAUUAUAAAUUUUUAAUUAGUGUUAUUAUUUAAUUUAAUUAAUUAAAAAGGUUUUGUUUUAAAAAAAUCAAUUAACUAAUACUACCUCCGUUCCUUUUUAUAAGAGACAAUUCAUUUUUUCGGUUCAUUCAAUAACUAAUGUAUUUGGUCUAUUUAUAGACUAGAUACAUUGAUUAUUCAAUGAAUCUAAAAAUUGAAUUGUCUCUUAUAAAAAGGAACAGAGGUAGUAGUAUAUAAAUAUAAAAAAUGAGGCCCUAGGCAGUAGCCUUGGUGGCCUACCCCUAGGGCCGGCCCUGCGCAAGACGACUAAUUGCAGUUGUAUCGGAUGAUUGUGUUUGUUUUGUGCUACUACUAAGUACUAGGUUACUGUUACUUUCCCUAACCCUAUGUUUGGUUUGGUUUCAUGUUUGAGGCGGCUAGAAUUGAUUCUGGAGGUGUAAAAUUGAUUUGACAUGUUUAAUUGAUUUUGAGUAUAAUUGAUUUUUUUUUUCCAAAUUGAUUCUAUUUUGAAGUUAUAAUUUGUAGGUUUUGAGUCUAAGUGUGAGUUUAAUAAUGAAAUUCAUUGUUCAGAACUUUUAUUUAAAUACAUUCAAAUACAAACCACUUUAGAGUUAACUAACUUUUAAGUAAAAGCAAUUUUACAAAAUCAAUUUUUAUUGUUAGAGAACCAAACAUGUAUUAAAAUUUACUGUUAUUGUAUAUUGGGAUACCAACUUAGGAUGAGUAGCUUGUGACCAUCACACUUAUUUAAAUUAUUAGAAUUACACAAUUCUGUACAUGUCCGAUAUAAUCAUUCUGCUUGGCAUGUAACAAUAUAAAAUUAUAUGGUCAGAUUUUGUUGACUUUGUAAUGCAAUUUGUUCUCUGGUGUAUAUAAUCUGGUGUAUAUAAUAUGAUUCUCGUCUUUGCUUAUGCUUUUUGCAGCAUGGGUAGAAACACUUUCUGCAGUUGUCUUGAUCUUUCUAAUAAUUUAAAUAAGUGCGAAGAUGAAGCCUUGAAUAUACUUGGAUAGAUAGUUGUGUAUGAUGCUGUAAAUUCCCGCAAGUGGAGUUCAGAGGGUCCAUUCACCCAUUAUUGGAGAAAAGUUAUUGUGUACUAGGAUACCAACUUAGGUUGAGUAGCUUGCGACCAUCACACUUAUUUAAAUUAUUUGAAUUAUACAAUUUUGUGCAUGUCCGAUAUAAUCAAUCUGCUUGGCAUGUCACAAUAUAAAAUUAUAUGGUCAGAUUUUGUUGACUUUGUAAUGCAAUUUGUUCUCCUGGUGUAUGUAAUCUGAUUCCCGUCUUUGCAUAUGUUUUUUGCAGCAUGGGUAGAAGCACUCUCUGCAGUUGUCUUGAUCUUUCUGUUCUUGUUGCAAAAAUAUGGAACACCCCGUGUCAGUUUCCUCUUUUCUCCAAUAAUGGGUGCAUGGACCCUCUGUACUCCACUUGUGGGAAUUUACAACAUCAUAUGCAACUAUCCAAAUAUAUUCAAGGCUUUAUCUUCGCACUACACUGUCCAGUUCUUUUUGAAGAAUAGAAAAUCUGGGUGGUUUUUACUUGGUGGUAUUGUCCUUUGCGUUACAGAUUAUCUUGACGGAAUUAUGGAAGUAUUCAUGGAUGAUUUCUCGAUAUGUGGAUUCGAUUUGACACAGAAUAAUAUGAUUAUCUUAACAAAAGGGACAGUACCAUUAAGUGAUUUCUCGUAAUCUGUCUUUCUCGAUUUGACACAGGAUAUUAUGAUUCCUUCAGUGAUAAUUUGCAAAGAAAGGUGGAUAAGAAUACUAACAGUAAGAUACAUACAGAUAAAGCCACCCAGAUUUUCUAUUCCUUAAAAAGAACUGGACAAUGUAGUGCAAAGAUAUAGCCUUGAAUAUACUUAGAUAGUUGUGUAUGAUGUUGUAAAUUUUCACAAGUGGAGUACACAGGGUCCAUGCACCCAUUAUCGGAGAAAAGAGGAAACUGACACGGGGUGUACUAUGUUUUUGCAACAAAAACAAAAAGAUCAAGACAAUUGCAGAGAGUGUUUAUACUCAUGCUGCAAAAAGCAUAUGCAAAGACGGGAAUUAUAUUACAUACACCAGGAGAACAAAUUGCAUUACAAAGUCAACAAAAUCUGACCAUAUAAUUUUAUAUUGUAACAUGCCAAGCAGAUUGAUUAUAUUGGACAUGAACAAAAUUGUGUAAUUCUAAUAAUUUAAAUAAGUGUGAUGGUCACAAGCUA